GCUUCGCUGACGAGUGGCGGACGGGUGAGUAAUGUCUGGGAAACUGCCUGAUGGAGGGGGAUAACUACUGGAAACGGUGGCUAAUACCGCAUAACGUCGCAAGACCAAAGAGGGGGACCUUCGGGCCUCUUGCCAUCAGAUGUGCCCAGAUGGGAUUAGCUUGUUGGUGAGGUAACGGCUCACCAAGGCGACGAUCCCUAGCUGGUCUGAGAGGAUGACCAGCCACACUGGAACUGAGACACGGUCCAGACUCCUACGGGAG
rnacentral:rRNA from 1 species